rnacentral:rRNA from 1 species
UACGGGGGGGGCAAGCGUUGUUCGGAAUUACUGGGCGUAAAGGGCUCGUAGGUGGCCAACUAAGUCAAUCGUGAAAUCCCCUCGGCUUAACCGGGGAACUGCGCUUGAUACUGGAUGGCUUGAGUUUGGGAGAGGGAUGCGGAAUUCCAGGUGUAGCGGUGAAAUGCGUAGAUAUCUGGAGGAACACCGGUGGCGAAGGCGACUACCUGCCUGUUCUUGACGCUGAGGCGCGAAAGCUAGGGGAGCAAACGGGG